rnacentral:misc_RNA from 1 species
CAUGGGCGGCUUGGCUUGAGGAGAGAGUGCGGAGCACAGAGGACGCCGUCGGGGCCGAUACUCAGCGGUGAACUCCCUCGAGCGCGUCACGCGCCUCCCUUUCCUUUCUCACAUGGGGAGAGACCGCACGCACUGUGAGACGAGCUGCGUGUCGGAGAGCAGUUGCACAGUGGCGAUGCCCGCACAAGUCCGCAGCUGUAGCGCUGUGGCGUUGGAGCUCAGGCGGGUCGCCUCCGUGGACACCCCCCGCACCUGCAACUGCUUGCUAGCCGCCCCCUGCUCGCCCCCGAGCGAGCCCGGCGGCUUGUCGGCUCAGUCCUCUGCUGCUCCAGACGGUGAUAAAGUCCAGAGACCGGCGCUCCGCCUCCUCGCUGCCUCAUACGAACUGAGGGUUGCCUCUUCGUCGGCUACUGCCCCCGCUUCGACAGAGGUGAGUGACGGGGACGAGGCCGCAGGCCCGAGGCACGUCGGCGAAUGUGCGCUCUAUGAAUGCGUUGCCUCCGGGGAUGGGGAGGGGGUGGAUGAGGCUUCUCUCCAUGUGCAGCGCCGCACGGCGGCGCUGCCCGGUGUCUUCGACGCUGUUUCGGUGCCCUCAUCAUUCUUCAGCACUGCAACCCUGUUGUCUGCCGCCGACGCGCCUCCAUGCAUCGUGCUGGCGUGCACGGAUGGCAGUGUGCGAGUCCUCGACCCCUUCACGCUCAGCCCCGUAGUGGACCCGCUGCGUGACCUUCACGCGGAGAUGCUGACCAGCUGCACGGCGCUUCACUAUCCCACUCCACACCUCUUGUGCUCAGCCCAUACGGGGUCAGUUUAUCUGUAUUCGCUCGCAGAACGGUGCGUGACGCAGGAGCUGGAGGGGCACGAGUACGAUGCGUGGUGCACGGCGAUGCUGCCUACUGGCGGGUGGUGGCCCGCUGCCCCGGCUUCUCCUCCCAAUGGAGGCUGCAGCGACCACGACAACAUUGACGGUGAAGCAGAGGCUGGUGACAUGCCCGCCAGGGCCAGCACAAGCGCGUUGCUCGCGUCUGGCGGCGACGAUGGUUACUGCAAGCUGUAUGAUAUGCGCACCAACCCCAGCCGCGCCGUUAGCCGCUCACGCUUCGGUGCCGGCGUGGUUUCCAUUACACCUGUGCUGGACACUCUCGACGGCUUGUUGGCCGCCCACGCCACACCGUAUCUACUGGUGGGCUCGUACGACGAGUCCAUCUCGCUCGUCGACGUGCGCAGCAUGCGGAGUCCUGUGGCGCAGCGCGGCGGGCUUGGCGGAGGCGUAUGGCGCACGUCCCGCUGCCUCCUCCCGCUAUGGGACUCCGGGGCUGCCGUGUCGGACGACGUCGGGGCCGUGGCGAGUGACGACGGCAACGUGAACCUGUCGCUGCUGCUGGCCAGCGCGAGGGCUGGCUGCCGCCGCAGUGAGGCGAAGCGGCCGUGCACGAUGCAGUCUCUCGCCAGCGGGUGGGCAAACACCUCUAACAUUCUUGUGCUGCCGCUGAUGCAGCGCGGGGCUGCACUGCUGCCGUACGACGUGCGAGCCUCUGCGGAGGAGGUGUUCGGCAACGCAGACGUACCCCUCACUUACUUUUACGGUGAGGCUGUGGAGAGCGACUCAGAGGCGGCGCCUGGCGCCGCGCUCAUUCCUACGUUGACAGACAACACCCUGGUGUAUGAUGCAGCGGUGCUGCGGCCGCUCGACCGGAUCGACUCCCAUGGUGCGGAGACGGCGGCGGACCUGUCCGCCGCCGUGGUGGCCACCGUCUCCUUCUACGAAAGGCGUAUCGACGUGUGGACGGUGGCGGCGGGGCAGCCGCGGAUGUGACGGCGGGCCGCCACGUCGCACAUCGCACGAACCGCCCGAACUAACCAACAACGCGUGUCUUGAGCGUGCCACCUCCGCCGCCCGUUGGGCGGCGUGCGUGCGAGCUCACGUGUGUUGCGACUCGCUCAUCAGCUGAACGUAUGGGACUGUGGUGCGAACCCCAGAGUAGCAGGGACAAAUACGGAGAGAGAAGCAGGCCGGAUGAGCGGCGGCGUGCUGGCGCCGCACUCUUCACGUUGUGCGUGUGUUAUCGCCGGCGCAUUGACGUGGAGGGGCACGAGAGAGAGAGAGGGCGGGGGGGGCUCGGUGCCCCUCGCCGAGCCCUCCCUUCACGUGCUAUUCAUCCCUCCCUCCGCCUCUUUUUCUCUGUGCGACACUUCACCACUCACGCAGGGGUCACAUGUUGCCUGAGAAGCCAUGAACAUGUGUCGCCUUGGCACUUCCUGCAGCCACGGGCAACACCCGGCUAAAACGGCCGCGGGCACACCAAUGCGCGUGCCGCCCGCGCCUCGUCACC